ensembl:misc_RNA Metazoa_SRP Metazoan signal recognition particle RNA
GCCGGGUGUGGUGACGCAUGCCUAUAAUCCCAGCUACUCAGGAGGCUGAGGUGGGAGGAUCACUGGAGUCCAGGAGGUCAAGGCUGCCGUGAGCCAUGAUCGUGCCACUGCACACCAGCCUGGACAACAGAGUGAGACCCUGUCUCUA